GACGAACGCUGGCGGCGUGCUUAACACAUGCAAGUCGAACGGGCCUGUCUUCUUUUUUGGGGGUGGGUUGAGUGGCGAACGGGUGAGUAUCACGUGAGUAACCUGCCCUUCGGUCCUGGAUAACCGCUUGAAAGGGCGGCUAAUACGGGGUGGUCCGGUUGGUCCGCAUGGGCUGGUCGGGAUAGAUUCACUGUUUUUGGUGUUUCGGCGGGGGAUGGGCUCGCGGCCUAUCAGCUUGUUGGUGGGGUGAUGGCCUACCAAGGCGGUGACGGGUAGCCGGGCUGAGAGGGUGGGCGGCCACACUGGGACUGAGAUACGGCCCAGACUCCUGCGGGAGGCAGCAGUGGGGGGUAUUGCACAAUGGGCGGAAGCCUGAUGUAGCGACGUCGCGUGAGGGAUGGAGGCCUUCGGGUUGUGAACCUCUGUUUCCGGUGGUGAAGGCCCUGUCCGUGUGGUGGGGUUGACGGUAGCCGGGGAUGAAGCGCCGGCUAACUACGUG
rnacentral:rRNA from 1 species